rnacentral:rRNA from 1 species
CAGUCGCCGCGGUAAUACAGAGGGUGCGAGCGUUAAUCGGAUUUACUGGGCGUAAAGCGUGCGUAGGCGGCUUUUUAAGUCGGAUGUGAAAUCCCUGAGCUUAACUUAGGAAUUGCAUUCGAUACUGGGAAGCUAGAGUAUUGGAGAGGAUGGUAGAAUUCCAGGUGUAGCGGUGAAAUGCGUAGAGAUCUGGAGGAAUACCGAUGGCGAAGGCAGCCAUCUGGCCUAAUACUGACGCUGAGGUACGAAAGCAUGGGGAGCAAACAGGAUUAGAUACCCCGGUAGUCCCUGUCUCUUAUAU